CUUGACUUACAAGAGUAAUACCGAAGAUAAAGUGUGUUCUGUGGUGUCUACCAAAGAUAAAUAUAUGUGGAGUAUAACAGAUAAUAAACACAAUAGUCAUUUAUUCACUAAAUGGAGUAAAGUAAACAAUGUGCAGAAAAUCAGUGAGACAAUGUUUCAGUUUAGAAUUAAUUUAGAUGGUGAAGUUGAUUUUAGUGAAUGCAGAAGAUUGGCUGUACGAAUAUUUAAUAAAGCUGGUUUAUCAACAAUAAUAUCGUCGGAUAUUAAAAACUGUUCAUCUGUAGAUCCGGUAUUAAUUAUACCGGCUAUUAUUAUAGAUGCUAUAGGACAGCCAUUAAAUAACGAUCCCAACACAAAUGAACUAGGAACAUCAAUUUCUCUGGAUCAGAACGCAGUCUGGUCUAAACCAGAUGUGGACUAUACACCUUAUAAAAAUAUUAUAUCAGCCGUAUGGCUCACAUUAAGACAUAGAAACUAUACUUGGGGUUUACUAGAAGACCCAGCAUUCUCUACUCUAACACAUUUUA